rnacentral:rRNA from 1 species
AUACGGAGGGUGCGAGCGUUAAUCGGAAUUACUGGGCGUAAAGCGUACGUAGGCGGUUUGCUAAGUCAGAUGUGAAAGCCCCGGGCUUAACCUGGGAACUGCAUUUGAUACUGGCAGACUAGAGUAUGAUAGAGGGGGGUAGAAUUCCUGGCGUAGCGGUGAAAUGCGUAGAUAUCAGGAGGAAUACCAGUGGCGAAGGCGGCCCCCUGGAUCAAUACUGACGCUGAGGUACGAAAGCGUGGGGAGCGAACAGGAUUAGAUACCCUAGUAGUCC